CAUACAGUGUUCGACAUAAUGUCUCAAUGACAUAACUAAACUGAACCAGUGGGCUAUUCCAUGUUUAACGAAAAACCUAGCCUUCUUGUUUCUUUCUCAUUUUUUAACAGCUCUAAAUAGACUCUUCAAGGAUCGUUUUAGUUUUGGUCUUAUGCAAAACGGAGUUGAUUUGAGAAACUUACGGUAUUUCAAACCUUGUUAUGUGUUUCAGCAAUUCUGCAGAUUCGGCAAUUUCUGUGACUUUGGUUCUGUGUUCAAUCAUUCAUUUGAACUCCAAAUGACUUGAAAUUUUGAGAGAUUGUAGCUUUCUGGAGAUUUUCACUGAAAAAUGUGGAAAGAUCAAUCUUUGGUGAAUUUUUCUCUAUCGAUACCUGUUUUCUGGAAAUUUUUCAAACAUGCAGCUCCUUUCAUUUUUAUAGAAUCUAAUUCCUAGAGUUGUAGUUUUUACAAUUGGUACGAUGAAUCUUAUUAGAAAAGCUAUGCCACAUGUUGAGUAUUUCAAAUUUCUAGAUGUAUAAUUUUGGCGUACACUGUUAACAACUUAAACAUCGUUUGUAACCUUUUCAGAAUAUACCACGGGUAAUGUCUAACUAAAUUUAGUCUCCUUAUCACUUAUUUUUGCUGUGUUGUUUCACAUAAAAGAAUAUAACUACUGUCACUUAUUUCUGUUACUGUAAUGAGUUACACUAAUGAAGUUCAAUUAGUUCCAGAAUUGUUGUCAUAUGUAUAGUCGUUUGUGAAGCAAAUUUGCUGAGGUUAGGAUUUGAAUAUAUGUCUGCUGUCUUAUUUCUGCUUAAAUACUUUUUGCAUAGAUUCUAAGGCUGGGAGGAGCAGCUGCGGAGGCAUCAGCACCGACCCAGCUUGUCGGGACAAAUUCCCACAAUACCCCCAGAAAACCACAUUACAUGAGGUUGAGGACUACUCUGUAGUGGAGAAGAGAACCUGGUAUCCGAACAUUCACGCCCCAGCUUAAAGGCCCCAAUUCCAAUGAGGGGAUCAAGAGUAAGGUUCGUACCAAGUCUGGUAUAUUCUUGAGUCCUCAGGGAAGAAGUUCACAAUGGUACAGGUGAGACUGUCACCCACUCCCCAGUUCUAUACCAUCCCGCAGACCAUGGACAAGAACUCUUAGAAGCUUUGGGAGAGCUUGAAUUCAGAAAUUAGUUUCUGAUACCAAGUUAUGAUGGAAGGGUCCUUUUUUAAGCAACUCAAGAACUCUCCUACAUAAAUGGUUCGGAGAUGACAAUAUCUUGGAGGUGAAAUUUACCUAAGCACCAAGAGAGAUAUCCCUAUUCUUCUGCUUCAACUUCUAUGAACCCUAAAUUUCUCCGUCUACUACCUAACUCAAGAAUAUUCUGUAAUGUGGUCAUUUUAUGAAACUCAAUAUGUGCC